UAAUACGUAGGGGGCAAGCGUUGUCCGGAUUUAUUGGGCGUAAAGAGCGUGUAGGCGGCCAGAUAGGUCCGUUGUGAAAACUCGAGGCUCAACCUCGAGACGCCGAUGGAAACCAUUUGGCUAGAGUCCGGAAGAGGAGAGUGGAAUUCCCGGUGUAGCGGUGAAAUGCGCAGAUAUCGGGAAGAACACCCGUGGCUAAGGCGGCUCUCUAGUACGGUACUGACGC
rnacentral:rRNA from 1 species